rnacentral:rRNA from 1 species
GAUGAACGCUGGCGGCGUGCCUAAUACAUGCAAGUCGAGCGGACGGACGCUAAGCUUGCUUCUCUGAUGUUAGCGGCGGACGUGUGAGUAACACGUGCUUACCCUCCCUUUAGGACUGGUAUCACUUCGGGAAACCGUAGCUAAUACUGAAUAAUAUUUUCAACCGCGUGGUUCAAAAGUGUAAGACGGUCUUGCUGUGGCUUCUAGAUGUAUCCGCGCUGCAUUAGCUAGUUGGUAAGGUAACGCCUUACCAAGGCAACGAUGGGCAGCCGACGUGAGAGGCGGAUCGGCCACCCUGGAAGGUAGACACGGACCAGAGUCCUGCGGGAGGCCGCAGAAGGGAAUGUUACGCAGUGGUCGAAAACAUUACGGAGCAACGCCGAGUGAGUGAUGGAGGUCCUCGGAUCGUAAAGCUGUGUUAUUAGUGAAGAACAUAUGUGUAAGUAACCGUGGAGAGCGUGACGGUACCAAAUCAAAAAGCCACGGCUAACUACGUG